rnacentral:rRNA from 1 species
UANAGCGAANCUGAAUGGUUAUAUAAGUUAUCGUUUAUUUGAUAUUACCUUACUACAUGGAUAACCGUGGUAAUUCUAGAGCUAAUACAUGCUGAAAAUCCCGACUUCGGAAGGGAUGUAUUUAUUAUAUUCAAAACCAAUGCCCUUCGGGGCUCCAAUGGUGAUUCAUGAUAACUUCUCGAAUCGCACGGCCCCGCGCCGGCGAUGGUUCAUUCAAAUUUCUUCCCUAUCAACUUUCGAUGCUACGGUAGUGUCCUAGCAUGGUUGCAACGGGUAACGGGGAAUCGUACGGUGGCUUAUAUUUGUUAUUAUAAUCUUCGGAUUUUAAUAGCAAAUAUAAGUCGGCGACGAUUCAUUCGAAUUUCUGCCCCAUCAACUCUCGAUGGUAGGAUAGANGCANCAUGGUCGCAACGGGUAACGGGGAAU